CCGUUUCUUCAUCGUUUUAUUUUAUUUACCCCCCUAACCCAUUAUCAACAUGUUUCUCUUCCACUUCAAUAUCAAUUAAUACUCUUAUUCGUAAGUCAGAUUCCACUAUGUUCUAUAUGAGGCGAUCCUAUGUAGGGGAUAUAUGGGUUUAUGAACAAGUGUUUUAAAUGAUCUUGAUCUGGCAGUCUGAAACAAAACAUUUCUUGUGCCUUUUGCGAUUCAGAUGAACUUUAGUCUCGUUGAUUGGUUAAUUAAAUGGUUUGAACCUGGUUUUUACGCAUGAUGAUAAUUUGAUAUAACAAUGGUUGUGAUUUAAUUUCCGAUUAAUUUUCAAUGAUACUGUUUUUUGGUGUUAUGUGAAUUUGUUGAGGAAAAAAAGAAGGCAACAAAUUAGAGUCUCUGAUUCACUUAUUUGAUGGUGAUUUCAGUGCUGUACGUUGCCAAUAAUAAUUAUUUGGAUCUGAGAUUCUGGCAUUUGCUUGUUUUAUGAGGCUUUUGCAUUCAGAUGCUCAUGCUCCUACAUAUUCACAUUUUUUCUCAUAUUAAUGUUAAAAUACCUUAAAAUAAGGUUCUGUUUUUUGUUUUGGUUUUUAUGGUGACAUUUAGUGCAAAGUUUUGUUCGUUUUUAAUU
rnacentral:lncRNA from 1 species